rnacentral:lncRNA from 1 species
GCGCCAGCGUGGUAAUGGGACUCCAAUCUCAUCCUCGCUCGUUGCUGUGAGAAAAUAAAACCGAGAUGUAAAAAAGCUGAAAACACAUCCUCUGAUUGCUCGGGGAAUUUUCUUAGUCAUACGUUAUCUUUCCUAGUAGUUUAAGUUAUUUUGUCUCCACUAAAACCCAAAGCAAAACAUUGCCCUGACACUUUCCCCUUGAUUUCUGAUCUGCGGCAGCCAAAUUUAUUUUUAUCUCGUGUCGUCUUUUCCCCUAUGGUUAUGCAAAUCCUCGGAAUAAGGGGCAAGGGGAAAAGCUAAUUUUAAAGCUGGUAAAUUCCAGUGGGAGAUUUCUUCAGUCGCUCCGAGCGGGACUAUCCUGGGUGCUGCUGAAGAGCUGUGGCUACCUCCAAAUAACACAGGGGUCUGAUUCAGUCAUAGCCUCAAACAAAUGUCACCACCUCUACUGGAAAAUGUAGUGACCAGUGGAUUAGAGAAGCGAGAGGGCUGGAAAUGAGUCUGCUUCAAGUCUUCCCAUGUACCUUGCGGAGUGACAUCUGGAAAUGGUGGAGUUCCUAUUCUGAGGAUCAAACCUGCAUUUCCUCUAUGUGGUUGAAGGCAGUGCAUUAGUGGGAUGAAGUGCCAGCAGCACGCAGCUGAAUCUGCUGAUGACACUGGUGUUUGGACUAGACCAGAGCAUGACAGUACUGGCUGGCUCAUUUGGAAUCCAAGCCUGUGGUUGUGUAUCCUCCAUUGUCAUCGUGGAAAUCGAGACUGCCUUCACCGCACAUUUAUUUCAAGGCAAACAAACGAGACACUCAGAUACUGAUGUUCAGAGCCCUUUCCUCCUUGUUUACCUAAAUUUGGUUGAAGAGCCCUUGAGAUAA